rnacentral:rRNA from 1 species
UACGUAGGGUGCGAGCGUUGUCCGGAAUUAUUGGGCGUAAAGGGCGCGUAGGCGGCCUUCUUAGUCGGACGUGAAAUCCCCAGGCUUAACUUGGGAACUGCGUCCGAUACUGGGAGGCUUGAGUGCGGGAGAGGGAUGUGGAAUUCCAGGUGUAGCGGUGAAAUGCGUAGAUAUCUGGAGGAACACCGGUGGCGAAGGCGGCAUCCUGGACCGACACUGACGCUGAGGCGCGAAAGCUAGGGGAGCAAACGGG